CAGCAUUGAACUAGAUCUUCAGUUUCCUGACAAUUUCUCCCAUGGAAUAGCCUUCAUUUCUCAGAACAAGAAUAGACUGAUGAAUUUCAGAAGAAAGUUUGAGCAUGUAAUUUAAUUAGCCUUUUAAAAUAAUAAAGUUGGAUUAUCAAACACAAUGUGCCAUUGGAACAUGGGACUGAUUGUUGCUGAUAAUGGGCCUCUGUGCACCUAUGUAGAUUUUCCAUUAAAAAUCUAUCAUUUCCAGAUGAUCUGUGAUGCUGCCUGCAUCUUUACCAAUGUGGAGGCAAAGUGGCCUGGGUCCGUCCAUGACUCCCGAGUUUUAAGGUCCAGUACCAUUUCCCAGCGACUAUCACAAGACAAGGGUUAUGCCUGUGAGACAUACCUUCUCACUCCCCUUGCAGACCCUCAGACAGCAGCACAGCAAGGAUACAAUCUUGCCCAUGCAAGAACAAGGGCCUGAAUUGACAUGGCAUUUGGCCUUCUCAAGUCACGAUUUCAGUGUCUCCACCACCUGAAGGUCACCCCAGACAGGGCCUGUGACAUUACUAUAGCCUGCACGGUCCAACACAAUAUUGCCUGUCUGAGAAAGGAAAGGGGUCCAGCAGUGGCACCGGAGAUUGAGUGGGACAAUGCAGCUAUAUUCCCAGAUGACAUUAAUGGCAGGCUGGUCAGAGACCAAUACAUUAUUUCAGAUGAGUGAUUUCAUUGUCUUGUCCUUCUCCAAUAAAGGAUUGUUUGUGUUACUCCUUAAAUAGGCCUAAUGUUUUGUUCGAUA
ensembl:lncRNA